UGCUCCGAGCGCUUGUGUUGUUUACCAAGAAAAUGCAGCCCUGUUGGUUUUUAUUUCUGUAUCGCAUCGCGGUGAGUUUCCAUUUCUUGGUAAUUCGGUUUGUGAAAUGACUAUUAAUUACAAGCACAGCAUCAUCAACGGUGAUUGCAAGAACUACUGCAAUCCCUGCGGUUUUUCCUCUUGGUAAAUGCGUUCUGGUCGUGACCAAGGGUGGUCUCCCAAAUCGGCUGGGAAUAAGGCUAUUGUUGCAGAACAUAACGCCGCAACCACUGCUGUGGUAAAUAUGUUCCAGCAGAGCUGCCCACCGCCGUCGGUGUAAUGAUUUCGAUAGCUGAACAAACGCCAUCUCCUGGGCAUUCCCACAGCUUGCCGACACUAGCUAUUAUAUGACGUGUGAAUGCAACUGCAGCUUAAUUUGGUUAUUAACAGUACAAUAGUACCAUGUCAUUGGCAAAAACACUAAGGGCUGCUGGCAAAUAUAGGUUGUAAAGUUUUUGGUAUCGAUGAACUUACUCGAAGAAGACGAUGGCCGAAAACAUAUGAUGAAACAUCUUCUGGCAUGCCUUUGACAAUCGUUAAGUCAGACGGAGGCUUCACAUACGAUAUUUCACACAUGGCUGGAAUUCGUUA
rnacentral:lncRNA from 1 species